rnacentral:rRNA from 1 species
UUUAUAAGUGGUGAAGUGGGGACGAAGAAGGCUAGGUGAGCCAGGCGUUGGUUGUCCUGGUACUUGCAUGUAGGGGGGAAGACUUGGCAAAUCCGGUUUUCCAUAACUCUGAGGUGCGAAGUGGUUCUGACCUUUUGGUACAGAGAAGUCAUUGAUGCCCGGCUUCCAGGAAAAGCUGCUAGCCAUAACUUAUAGAGAACCGUACCGCAAACCGACACAGGUGGACAGGUAGAGAAUACUAAGGCGCUUGAGAGAACUCGGGUGAAGGAACUAGGCAAAAUGGUACCGUAACUUCGGGAGAAGGUACGCCCUUUUGGGUGAGGGCAUUUACUGUCUGAGCUUAAGAGGGCCGCAGAGACCAGGUGGCUGCGACUGUUUAUUAAAAACACAGCACUCUGCAAAUUCGUAAGAAGACGUAUAGGGUGUGACGCCUGCCCGGUGCCGGAAGGUUAAUUGAUGGGGUUAUCUUCGGAGAAGCUCUUGAUCGAAGCCCCGGUAAACGGCGGCCGUAACUAUAACGGUCCUAAGGUAGCGAAAUUCCUUGUCGGGUAAGUUCCGACCUGCACGAAUGGCGUAACGAUGGCCACACUGUCUCCACCCGAGACUCAGUGAAAUUGAAAUCGCUGUGAAGAUGCAGUGUACCCGCGGCUAGACGGAAAGACCCCGUGAACCUUUACUAUAGUUUUGCACUGGACUUUGAUGAUGACUGUGUAGGAUAGGUGGGAGGCUGUGAAGUGAGGACGCUAGUUCUCAUGGAGCCGCCCUUGAAAUACCACCCUGUUGUUAUUGAGGUUCUAACUUGGUCCAGUAAUCCUGGAUGAGGACAGUGUAUGAUGGGUAGUUUGACUGGGGCGGUCUCCUCCCAAAGAGUAACGGAGGAGCACAAAGGUACCCUCGGUACGGUCGGACAUCGUACCAAGAGUGUAAAGGCAAAAGGGUGCUUGACUGCGAGAGUGACGGCUCGAGCAGGAACGAAAGUUGGUCUUAGUGAUCCGGUGGUUCUGAAUGGAAGGGCCAUCGCUCAACGGAUAAAAGGUACUCCGGGGAUAACAGGCUGAUACCGCCCAAGAGUUCAUAUCGACGGCGGUGUUUGGCACCUCGAUGUCGGCUCAUCACAUCCUGGGGCUGAAGCAGGUCCCAAGGGUAUGGCUGUUCGCCAUUUAAAGUGGUACGCGAGCUGGGUUUAGAACGUCGUGAGACAGUUCGGUCCCUAUCUGCCGUGGGCGUAGGAAAAUUGAGAGGAGCUGCUCCUAGUACGAGAGGACCGGAGUGGACGAACCUCUGGUGCACCGGUUGUCACGCCAGUGGCAUGGCCGGGUAGCUAAGUUCGGACGGGAUAACCGCUGAAAGCAUCUAAGCGGGAAGCCUCCCUCAAGAUGAGUUUUCCCAUGAAGCCCGUUGAAGACUACGACGUUGAUAGGCAAGGUGUGGAAGCGCAGUAAUGCGUGAAGCUAACUUGUACUAAUUGGCUGAUUGUCUUGACCAUAUAAUCUGAG